CCUCGAUGCCAACAGACGACUAUUCGGAGGAGUCUGACACGGAUCUCAGCCAAAAGUCCGACGGACCGGCGAGCCCGGUGGAGGGUCCCAAAGACCCCAGCUGCCCCAAGGACAGUGGUCUGACCAGUGUAGGAACGGACACCUUCAGAUUGUACUAUUGGUCUUGGAAACUGAAGUCCGCAGGGCCUGCCUAUUGUUGGAGCUUAAACCCCUUGUAUAUUUGCCCCUUUUGAGAACUGCCCCACCUUGAUAGCACAGAGG
rnacentral:lncRNA from 1 species